AACCUUAUAGUAAAAUUGAAAUAAUCUACAGGUAGAAAAAGAAGUUUGUCGUAAUGAUAAAUCAUCACGAAAUGCAACAAGCGUUGGGAUUUUCAUCGCUAAAAAGCUGAGGAGCAGGCGGCAUUUGCUCGAUAACGUAAAGGGGCUGGUAAUAGUAAAUCAUUCUCUUCAUGGUUUCCUCCUCGUUACCAUGAUUGCCACUAUUUUCCUCUGCUUCUGCAGAUCCUUCUUUCUUCCCUUCUUCUUUGUUUUCACCUUCUUCAGGGGACUUUUCUUCUUUUUUCUCUGCGUUUUCUUCAGGUUUGGCUUCUUCGGUCGGCUUCUCUUCGCCCUCUUUCUUUUCUUCUUGUUUCUCUGGCUCAGGUUGAGGCUCAGGCUCUGGUUGAGGCACGAUCCUUGCCUGUUUUUUCGUGCGUCUAUAUACAUAAUCCACUAGCUUGUUUGCAUCCAUGGUGCCCGUCACUGUAACUUUUCCUGUGCUAUGCUCUGUUACGGCAGUCUGUACGCCUGUAACAUGUGUCCAUUAAACAACAUCAAUCAUCCCUAAUGAAUUUUUGGGUAAAUUAUACCCAAAGUUAAUAAACUAGUAGUAAGUUUAUGUUUUGAAUAUUUAACUUCAAAAAGCUACAAAAUGAGUAUUGAACUAUUCAAAUGUUUUCAUUUAAGUCACUGGCUUGUACCGGCUGCACCAAUCAAAAGCUCUUAAUCCCAUUUCUCUUUGAUAGUUCAUUUAUUUUCAUGAAACAACUUUGGUCAUCACAAAUCUAUGAUCCAAAAUCUAAAAAACUUUCUUGUCCAAUCUCCUACACUAGCCGUCAAAAGACUUAGAUCUAAGGUAUAUUCUUCUACUCAUCAAUGGGUACUGAUCUAUCGUAUUGAUCGUUAAAUCGUCGCUUGAAACUCACUAACCGAACUUAAAAAAACACACUUAACAACCCAGUAACUUAAAUAAAAACUUUUAAAUAAUUCAGUAACUUAAAUGAAAAUUUUCAAAUAGUUCAGUAACCAUUUUGUAUCCUUUUAAAGUUAUAUUCAAAUUUAUCAAACCUUGGAUGUAAUUUACUAAGUGCUUGUCACGUUGGAAAGGCCCCACCACCGCCAUUGUCUGCCUAAUAUGGAAUUCCUUUUCUGUCUUAUAUUUCUUUAGUUUCCCAUUCAGUUGGUCAAUCACACUCAUAAAUUAUCAUCUAGCUUUUUGCGGUUAAGUGGCAAAAGGGUACGGUUGUUGAAUUGGCAUGAAACUUAACCAACAUUAUACC
rnacentral:lncRNA from 1 species